GGCUGGUUGGCGCAAUGGUAGCGCGUUCGCCUCCAGUUCCAUCUGAAGAGAUUGGGAUGGGCAGCGAAAGGCUGGGUGUUCGAAUCACUCACUGGUCA